rnacentral:lncRNA from 1 species
CAGCUAUCCCUUCCCCCAUGUUUUCACUCCUCUCCGUUACCGCAAACAACCAUUUCUCCACUGUAUCUAUUGCAUGUUUCAAUUUCUCAGGACCUGCUGUGAUAGGAUAGCUUGGAUUUGAUGGUGAUAUAUUUUCCUGGCUAUUAUUCAUUAUAUUCAUUUGCUGGUGUCUAGGCCUCUGGGUGUGAGGUGAUUUGGUUUCUUGGUUUGAGCUGUUUGGGUGGGAGUUUUAUACCUUGGGUUACUGGUUGAUAUAUGGAUUUAUUUGUUUAUUUAUUUAUUUUUGGUUUUUCCAGACAGGGUUUCUUUAUGUAGCCCUGGCUGUCCUGGAAUUCACUCUGUUGACCAUGUUGGCCUUGAACUCAAAAAUACACCUCCCUCUGCCUCCCAAGUGCUGGGAUCAAAGGCGUGUGCCAGCACGCCCAGCUGAUAUCUGGAUUUUCACAGUGUUGACUGAGGGUUGCCUCUGUGAUGGACCUGUUUGGAGGAAUGGUGGACAGUGAUCUGACCGAACCAUGUACAACAACCAUCUACUACCUGAGAUGCUUUUACUUGAAGGAGUCUAUUCAGCAGCAGAGUAGCAAGUUAGAACAACAACAACAAAAAUUGAUAUAAAAAGGUGAUUUUGCUGCUGGACAGAAUCUAUGUUCUCUUUUGGAGGAAUGUGGAAAUUAUCAAAAAUUUAGAUGUGAAAAAUCAUAGAAAGCUGUAGGUGGAGCUUAACGGUUGUAGUCAUAGAACCUGAAAGAUUCGAGUGUUGGCAGUAAUGUAGCCAGAAGAAGUGGAGGUCACUGUAUAUCAGUGGAAAAUUGACUCUGUGAAAACUUUAGCUAGAGGUCAUUUGUGUAAUAUUUUGGCC